CUUUAAAAAGAAACAAAUAAUAAACAAACAAAAUGGCGUCGCGUGACGUGCGCGUGACCUUCAAAACGCUUGACCGUGAUUGGUCGGUCGAUG